rnacentral:rRNA from 1 species
AUUGAACGCUGGCGGCAUGCUUUACACAUGCAAGUCGAACGGUAACAGGGUGCUUGCACCGCUGACGAGUGGCGAACGGGUGAGUAAUGCGUCGGAACGCACCGAGUAAUGGGGGACAACGCAGCGAAAGCUGUGCUAAUACCGCAUACGCUCUGAGGAGGAAAGCGGGGGACCUUCGGGCCUCGCGUUAUUCGAGCGGCCGACGUCUGAUUAGCUAGUAGGUGAGGUAAGAGCUCACCUAGGCGACGAUCAGUAGCGGGUCUGAGAGGAUGAUCCGUCACACUGGGACUGAGACACGGCCCAGACUCCUACGGGAGGCAGCAGUGGGGAAUUUUGGACAAUGGGCGCAAGCCUGAUCCAGCCAUGCCGCGUGUCUGAAGAAGGCCUUCGGGUUGUAAAGGACUUUUGUCAGGGAGGAAAUCCUUAGCGCUAAUACCGUUGAGGGAUGACAGUACCUGAAGAAUAAGCACCGGCUAACUACGUGCCAGCCGCCGCCGUAA